rnacentral:rRNA from 1 species
UACGUAGGGGGCAAGCGUCGUCCGGAAUCAUUGGGCGUAAAGAGCGUGUAGGCGGCUCGGUAAGUCCGCUGUGAAAGUCCAGGGCUCAACCCUGGAAUGCCGGUGGAAACUGUCGAGCUAGAAUCCGGAAGAGGCGAGUGGAAUUCCUGGUGUAGCGGUGAAAUGCGCAGAUAUCAGGAGGAACACCAAUGGCGAAGGCAGCUCGCUGGGACGGUAUUGACGCUGAGACGCGAAAGCGUGGGGAGCAAACAGG